AGUGAACGCUGGCGGUAGGCCUAACACAUGCAAGUCGAACGGCAGCACAGUAAGAGCUUGCUCUUACGGGUGGCGAGUGGCGGACGGGUGAGGAAUACAUCGGAAUCUACUUUUUCGUGGGGGAUAACGUAGGGAAACUUACGCUAAUACCGCAUACGACCUACGGGUUAAAGCAGGGGUUCUUCGGACCUUUCGUGAUUGUAUUAGCCGAUGUCGGAUUAGCUAGUUGGCGGGGUAAAGGCCCACCAAGGCGACGAUCCGUAGCUGGUCUGAGAGGAUGAUCAGCCAAACUGGAACUGAGACACGGUCCAGACUCCUACGGGAGGCAGCAGUGGGGAAUAUUGGACAAUGGGCGAAAGCAUGAUCCAGCCAUACCGCGUGGGUGAAGAAGGCCUUCGGGUUGUAAAGCCCUUUUGUUGGGAAAGAAAAGCAGCAGGUUAAUACCCCGCUGUUCUGACGGUACCCAAAGAAUAAGCACCGGCUAACUUCGUG
rnacentral:rRNA from 1 species